GUGGGGAAUCUUAGACAAUGGGGGCAACCCUGAUCUAGCCAUGCCGCGUGAGUGAUGAAGGCCUUAGGGUCGUAAAGCUCUUUCGCUGGGGAAGAUAAUGACGGUACCCAGUAAAGAAACCCCGGCUAACUCCGUGCCAGCAGCCGCGGUAAUACGGAGGGGGUUAGCGUUGUUCGGAAUUACUGGGCGUAAAGCGCGCGUAGGCGGAUGGGAAAGUUGGGGGUGAAAUCCCGGGGCUCAACCCUGGAAUGGCCUUCAAAACUCCCAGUCUUGUGGUCGGGAGAGGUGAGUGGAAUUCCGAGUGUAGAGGUGAAAGUCGUAGAUAUUCGGAGGAACACCAGUGGCGAAGGCGGCUCACUGGCUCGAUACUGACGCUGAGGUGCGAAAGCGUGGGGAGCAAACAUGAUUAGAAACCCUAGUAGUCC
rnacentral:rRNA from 1 species